rnacentral:rRNA from 1 species
UACGGGGGGAGCAAGCGUUGUUCGGAUUUACUGGGCGUAAAGGGCGCGUAGGCGGCCACCGCAAGUCGAUUGUGAAAUCUCCGGGCUUAACCCGGAAAGGUCAACCGAUACUGCGGGGCUAGAGUGCAGAAGGGGCAACUGGAAUUCUCGGUGUAGCGGUGAAAUGCGCAGAUAUCAGGAGGAACACCGGUGGCGAAGGCGGUUCUCUGGGCAUUACCUGACGCUGAGGAGCGAAAGCGUGGGGAGCGAACAGG